rnacentral:piRNA from 1 species
CAGGAAAAAAAGAACCAUUUGGCUA